rnacentral:misc_RNA from 1 species
UUUCCGUAGGUGAACCUGCGGAAGGAUCAUUAAAAAAUUGGACUCCAUUGGUGAGUUCAUUAAUAAUCCCUACCCUUUGUGAAUUUGUUUGUUUGAAUAAUUUUUUUUCCAAAAAAAAUUAUUGAAUGUCUUUCCCUGUUUUGGUGGAGCUUGUAAAGUGAAACCAGGCAGGGGAAUGGCAAACAAUAAUUAUUUUUAAAAAAGACCUUUUUUUAAAAUUAAACUUUUUGUAUUCAUUUGUCUAAAAUUAUUUUUAUAAUAUAAAAACAACUUUUGACAAUGGAUCUCUUGGUUCUCGCAACGAUGAAGAACGCAGCAAAAUGCGAUAAGUAGUGUGAAUUGCAGAAUACGUGAAUCAUCGAAUCUUCGAACGCAUAUUGCACUUUUUUAGUUUACUAAAAAAGUAUGUCUGUUUGAGUAUCAGUAAAAUAUUCUCAUAAAAAACAUUGUUUUUUCAUGGUUAUGAGUGUUUUACAACGAUAACAAGUUGUUUCACUUUAAAUUCUUUGUUAUCAAAAAAAUCAUUAAAAGCUAAUUUUAAAGAUUUUUUAAAAUUGGAUAAAAUUUUCCCGUAAAAAGGAAUAACCUAAACAAUUUUAAAAAAUUAAAAUUGGUUUGAUUUUUUUUGAAACCCAAAGGAAAAAAAAACGAAAUUAACUUGAUCUCAAAUCAGAUAAGAGUACCCGCUGAACUUAAGCAUAUCAAUAAGCGGAGGAAAAGAAACUAACUAGGAUUCCCUCAGUAACGGCGAGUGAAGCGGGAAGAGCUCAAAUUUGAAAUCUUCAAGGUUUUACCUUGACGAAUUGUAGUUUAAAGAAGUGUUUUCUGUUGGAGUUUUGGUAAAAGUUCUUUGGAAUAGGACAUCAUAGAGGGUGAGAAUCCCGUAUUUGACCAUUAUUUCAGCUUUGUGAUACACUUUCAAAGAGUCGGAUUGUUUGGGAAUGCAGUCCAAAAUGGGUGGUAAAUUUCAUCUAAAGCUAAAUACUGGCGAGAGACCGAUAGCGAACAAGUACCGUGAGGGAAAGAUGAAAAGAACUUGAAAAGAGAGUUAAACAGUACGUGAAAUUGUCAAAAGGGAAGCGUUUGACACCAGUGUUGUUUUCUCGAAAAUCAAUUAAAAAGGCGGAUUUUGUGUUGUAUUGACUUAACAGCUUGCUGCACUCUUUUCCUGUCUUUUUUUAAUGCACUUUUCGUUUAACAAGUCAACAUCAUUUCUUUUGUUGUAAAAGGGUCAUUGGAAGGUGGCUUUCUCUUCGGAGAAAGUGUUUAUAGCCUUUGGCCUCUGCAAUCGGAGAGAUUGAGGU